rnacentral:rRNA from 1 species
AUGAGAACAGAACAAUCAAUCCUUGUAGCCUUUCAUAAACAGAGUGAACUUGAGAAAAAUGAGCAUCUUAUCCGAUUAAAUGCUGCAAUUGAUGUAUGCAGAUACUUGUUGCAUCAAGGACAACCGUUUCGGGGCCAUGAUGAGUCAAAAGAGUCUACAAAUAAAGGAAACUAUCGGGAGUUAAUGGACUAUACAAUUAUGCACAAUGAUGUUAUAGCCAAAGCAUUCAAAAAUGCCCCAGUUCAUAAUCAGUUGUUGUCUUCAACAAUUCAAAAGGAUAUCAUCGAGUGCUUUGCAGAAGAAGUAUUGAAUUGUAUUUUGAAGGAGCUUGACAAUGGUGUGUUCAGCUUAUUAGUUGAUGAAUGUCGCGAUGUUUCCGACAAAGAGAAAAUGGCAGUGGUUAUACGUUAUGUUGAUACACAUGGACUGUCAAAUGAGAGGUUUGUUGGUGUUCUUCAUGUGGAGGAAACAACAUCUAUUUAUCUCAAGUCUAAAAUUGAUUUUAUAAUUGCAAAACUUGGUUUGAGUCUACAACAAGUGAGAGGACAAGGUUAUGAUGGAGCAAGCAAUAUGGCAGGUGAGUUUAAUGGUUUGCAAGCCAAGAUUAUGAGGGAGAACAGUUCAGCUUAUUUUGUACAUUGUUUUGCUCAUAAACUUAACUUGGUUGUUGUGGCCAUUGCAAAAAAGAUAUUUGAUGUUGGAGAUUUUUUUGAUAUGAUAUCAUUGUUGGUGACUGUUGUUGGAUCAUCUUGCAAGAGAAAGGAUAAACUUAGAGAGAACCAUCGAGAAGAAGUAAGGAAAGCGAUUGGUAAGGGAGAGAUUGCUACAGGAUCAGGAUUAAACCAGGAGCUUUCUCUUCAGAGACCAGGUGAUACUAGAUGGAAUUCUCAUUAUACCACUUUGUUGAGUUUGUCUAAGAUGUUUCCCUCUGUGAUAAAAGUACUAGAAUAUGUGGAGGAAGAGGGUUCAGAUGCUACUAAGCAACGUCAAACCAGUGGUCUUUUAAAAUAUUUCCAGUCAUUUGAUUCUGCAUUCUUCCUACAUAUGAUGAUGAUUAUAUUUGCUUUAACAAAUGGGCUAUCAAAAACCUUUCAAAGAAAGGAUAUGGACAUUGUUAAUGCUAUAUCAGAUGUGGCAUCAGCUAAGCGAGAGCUAGAUAAGCUUAGAUCUGAGCAUGGAUGGAAUUCUCUCUUGAGCAAGGUAUGUUCUUUUUGCAACAAGAAUGAUAUUUCUGUUAUGGACAUGGAAAAGGAGUAUGUAAAUCCAAAGAAGCCAAGGCAAAGGACUGGCAUUAAUAAUGAGCAUCAUUACCGGGUCGACUGUUUUUUUUUGCUGUUUUGGAUUUAUUGGUAG